AUGGGCUACCGGGUAAUCUAUGUUUCUUUCCCUUUAAUGAAGCUGCGACUGAAAGAAUGGGAGCAGGUGAAAGGGGAGAAGCAGCUGUCGGCCACAGAGGAGAAACUGAAAUUAGCUGCAGAAGAGCUGUGGAACUACAAGGCUCAUGAUCAGGAGAGGGCAGUGGCAGAGCAGAGCAAGGAGGUGGCCUACUUGAAGUGCAGACUGGAAGUCAUCCAAAGACAGAGAGGCUUCCAGAGGAAUUCAGGAGGCACAAACCAAUGGCAAGAGGACCUGACAGGGAGAUCCCUCCAUGGAGAGGGAUGUCAUCUCCCCCAGAGAUCUCUGUGGCUUCGGACAGCAGGUCCAGAGAGGGAGCCAGGUCAACAUGGCUGCCAGAGCAUUUCCUUCUUUACCAGAAGUGCCCUCCAUGAGAGACUUUAGCCGAUCCAGAAGCUGGUGUCACUCCCAUGAGUCACAACAACAAGCACUCUACCAAAAAUGCCAAGAAGGACCAGGUAAAUUCUGGGGCCAUUUUCAGCU
rnacentral:lncRNA from 1 species